rnacentral:rRNA from 1 species
UGGGGAAUAUUGGACAAUGGGCGCAAGCCUGAUCCAGCAAUGCCGCGUGUGUGAAGAAGGCCUUCGGGUUGUAAAGCACUUUUAUCAGGAGCGAAACGCUGUCGGCUAAUACCCGGCGGAACUGACGGUACCUGAGGAAUAAGCACCGGCUAACUUCGUGCCAGCAGCCGCGGUAAUACGAAGGGUGCAAGCGUUAAUCGGAAUUACUGGGCGUAAAGCGUGCGUAGGCGGUUUCUUAAGUCUGCUGUGAAAUCCCCGGGCUCAACCUGGGAAUGGCAGUGGAUACUGGGAGGCUAGAGUGUGUCAGAGGGUGGUGGAAUUCCCGGUGUAGCGGUGAAAUGCGUAGAGAUCGGGAGGAACAUCAGUGGCGAAGGCGGCCACCUGGGACAACACUGACGCUGAGGCGCGAAAGCGUGGGGAGCAAACAGGAUUAGGUACCCUGGUAGUCCACGCCCUAAACGAUGCGAACUGGAUGUUGGUCUCAACUCGGAGAUCAGUGUCGAAGCUAACGCGUUAAGUUCGCCGCCUGGGGAGUACGGUCGCAAGACUGAAACUUAAAGGAAUUGACGGGGUCAUAGCUGUUUCCUG